CCUGACUGCUAUCGGAUUGAUACUAAGCCAUGCGAGUCAUUGUAGCAAUACAAGGCAGACGGCUCAGUAACGCGUAGUCAAUCUACCCUAUGGACGGGAAUAACCUCGGGAAACUGAGAAUAAUGCCCGAUAGAACAUUAUGCCUGGAAUGGUUUAUGUUUCAAAUGAUUUAUCGCCAUAGGAUGGGACUGCGGCCUAUCAGUUUGUUGGUGAGGUAAUGGCCCACCAAGACUAUUACAGGUACGGGCUCUGAGAGGAGUAGCCCGGAGAUGGGUACUGAGACACGGACCCAGGCCCUAUGGGGCGCAGCAGGCGAGAAAACUUUGCAAUGUGCGAAAGCACGACAAGGUUAAUCCGAGUGGUUUCUGCUAAAGAAACCUUUUGUCAGUCCUAGAAACACUAACGAAUAAGGGGUGGGCAAGUUCUGGUGUCAGCCGCCGCGGUAAAACCAGCACCUCAAGUGGUCAGGAUGAUUAUUGGGCCUAAAGCAUCCGUAGCUCGUUUUGUAAGUUUUCGGUUAAAUCCAUGCGCUUAACGUAUGGGCUGCCGGGAAUACUGCAUAACUAGGAAGUGGGAGAGGUAGACGGUACUCGGGAGGAAGGGGUAAAAUCCUUUGAUCUCUUGAUGACCACCUGUGGCGAAGGCGGUCUACCAGAACACGUUCGACGGUGAGGGAUGAAAGCUGGGGAGCAAACCGGAUUAGAUACCCGGGUAGUCCCAGCUGUAAACUAUGCAAACUCAGUGAUGCAUUGGCUUAUGGCCAAUGCAGUGCUGCAGGGAAGCCGUUAAGUUUGCCGCCUGGGAAGUACGUACGCAAGUAUGAAACUUAAAGGAUUGGCGGGGGAGCACCACAAGGGGUGAAGCCUGC
rnacentral:rRNA from 1 species